rnacentral:rRNA from 1 species
AUUGAACGCUGGCGGCAUGCCUUACACAUGCAAGUCGAACGGCAGCGCGGGAGCAAUCCUGGCGGCGAGUGGCGAACGGGUGAGUAAUAUAUCGGAACGUGCCCAGUAGUGGGGGAUAGCCCGGCGAAAGCCGGAUUAAUACCGCAUACGACCUACGGGUGAAAGGGGGGGAUCGCAAGACCUCUCGCUAUUGGAGCGGCCGAUAUCAGAUUAGGUAGUUGGUGGGGUAAAGGCCUACCAAGCCUGCGAUCGGUAGUUGGUCUGAGAGGACGGCCCGCCACAGUGGGACUGAGAAACGGCCCAGACUCCUGCGGGAGGCAGCAGUGGGGAAUUCUGGACAAUGGGCGCAAGCCUGAUCCAGCAAUGCCGCGUGCAGGAAGAAGGCCUUCGGGUUGUAAACUGCUUUUGUCAGGGAAGAAAUCCUCUAGGCUAAUACCUUGGGGGGAUGACGGUACCUGAAGAAUAAGCACCGGCUAACUACGUGCCAGCCGCCGCCGUAAUAC